CGAAGUCGAAUUUAAACUUUCUUACUCCCUCGACCAGUAUAAAUAAACGAAUACGAUCUUUAGAACAACCAGUAUCGAGCAUUCUUAUAGCGAAUGAGUAUCGAGCGAACGUAAGCAUUAUCUUGUAUACAUAUAUCGAGCAACACCGAGCGAACGACGAUUAACUCUAUGCUGCGAAUAAGUUUAAAUACAUUUGACUAUACAAAGUAUUAACUCGUCUCAUCGCUAUAUACACCUAACUAAUUCAAUUUUCUGCCAUGAAAGAUACAAAUAACAUGCUGAUUGAUCUCUAUCCUCGAGGUACUAGCCAUUGAAACCAACUUAUCCACGCAUACUAUAAAUAAUACCAUUAUGUCUGCGGACGUCUUUCGUUGUACAAAACGAUUCCUCGAAUCCUUAAACACGAAGUUUCGAAACUUAAAGCAAAUAUCCUGUAGCGAGGCGAGCCCACAUCGUGUCCGUAUACUUGCGGAUUAGAAUCCACAACAGUAUCAACAACGUGGAAUGCAAUCGUUUACGCACGCGGUCCAACAAUCUAUUUACCCGAGUCUGAAGCAUACUCCGACCGUCCACGUGACAUAAUCUGCAGCUCCGUUGCGAGUUAUCGAGUUCAUCCAUACCCAAGUUCGAUCAACGCCGGCUUAACUAUUUAGAAUCUCUAACCGUAGUUCUGGGAUUUGCUUUGACGAGCCAGUGUAGAACAUCCGCGUCUGACGACGAAUUCGAACCAGUCCACUGUUCGUGGCAUGCAUUGUGCGACCUAUGCAUGCAUGCACGAUGUUUGCACUGCUUGGUCGCCACGAUUAUUGUCCAGCGCUGUUUGGCCGUGUGUACGUACCAGCGGAAAACUGGAAACCUCUCUCGAAUCGGAUUCGAGAAGUUCUAUGUCUAUAUCGUGAAGCAGAGUGCGGAACUCGCCCGAGAGCCGCUUUCUAAUGUUCGUGGCGGCUGUAUUUGGUGUGUGUGAGGAAGUUUCGAACGAUAGCUUCGUGCGCUAGACAGAGAACGACCGGAAAAGUGGUCGUCCCGCAUACGUAAGUUUGCCAAGAUUUAUGGCGCACGCGAGACGACUGCCCGAGAAAAAGAUAAGACUCGAACGAGAUACGAGUGCGACGGAAGAAAGUGCCACGGACACCGACAUUACCCGACUUAUUUACCGGAGAUGUUUGCAACCGGAGAAGGUGGGUCCAGCGAAUGUCGUCGAACGAAACAAGCAAUCGCUUUAAAUUAGGAAAUCUCCAGUUUUUUGUGAAAAUAAAAGAUCGUUAAACUCGUUAAGGACAACUGCUGUAUCCACGCGACAUCGAUAACGCACGAAUGACUAUAUUAUUUAAUCGUGUAGAUUAAAGAAGAAGAAAAAUUGAAAUUUCUCCUUAGACGUUAGACGUCGAUGUAGGUAUCAAUCAUCUCGAACAAGAAGAUUACGAAUUACGAAUUACCGUAGGAACAAACACCAACGAGGAUUAUUGGAUCCGGGGAAUUUAAUUGAUUCAAAACACGGUAUGGCACAACUCGCAUACGGAUCUAUUGACCGCGCAUAAUCUAGCCAAACCCAUCCAUUCCAAUUCGUAUUCCAACAUGUUUCCAUUCAAUUUCGAGUUCGUCGCUUACGGGAAGUCUAAUUUGAAAAUCAACCGUGUCUUAGGCUAACACGCGUACUUCCGUCGGUUACCGGUUGCGACGACAAUGCAACCGCGGUCCGUAAGCCAGGAUUACGGGCCUGGACUUGUUCUACGACACAAUAUCAAUCAUGUUCUGUUAGUUAAAGUUCGUCGUUCGAGUCACCAACGUAACGCAAACCGCACCAGCCAAGGAAUCAAAGCGUGUUCAUGGAUUCGAGGAAGCACGUGCAAUCAAAUCAAAGGCAACGAGAUCUACUCAUCCAAUCAUGCGUGCUACGAUUGAAUGUAACCAUCGAGAUGGUCCACUGAAUGAGACCAGCAACGUUUCCGCAAGCUUGCUUCGCAGCUUCAUUAAAUCACUCACUGGUGAAAAACACAAGGUCACAUGUAACUGAUCUCUCGCACGUGACAGAAAAUAAUCGUAAAGAUUAUCCGGAGUGGGUGGUCGCCUUGGAUCAUCCUUCUUCAUCAUAGGCG